GUUUUUGAAUUUUGCCAAAAAAAAAAGCGUUUUGACUUGGCCCCCCAAAAGGAACCCUAGGACUCUUUCACCCAGACACCCACACUGCACACACCCACUCUCGAGCCUCCCCUCCAGCCCUCCAUUCUCACCUCUCGCUUUCACCACGUUCAGUCUCCACCGCGAGCUUCCGGCGCAACCCCCGUCUAGUCAUCGCCGCUGUCGCAAGGUCGAAGUCACUCACCUGCACAGACCCAUGGCGCCAGCUUUCCGUUCGCGCAACAAGCUUUCCUUUCAGCCGUCAAAAUCUCAAAAUCUCAGCCACUGCCAGCGCCAGUUGCCGUCGCGAGUGUCUUCCUGCCGACGCCAGCUCUGUUUGACCCUUCCACCCCAGCCACUGUCGCUUUGCAUUCUUCCUAGUCUUCCACUAAGCCUAGGCAGCAGAAUAAGCAUGACUGCAAGUGGAUACAAGCAUGGAGUAAGCUUCAAUGCCUCACCACCAUGUUCUGUAAGCAGAGCACACUUUUAACACAUGUACCAAACAGUUAACACCUUUCCCAUUUCUCUUUACCGACUUUCCCUCUGCCUCACUCUCACUCUCACUCUCAAUCCGCUGCUGCUGCCAUCCUGCCUCCGGCCUUGCUUUCUCGCUGCUCAUCAGCCUUGCGCCAGCUUCGUUGACAUCUGUCUCCCUUCGCAUCCAGCCACUCGCCGAGUAGUCUCUCCGCACUCCUGUCACUCUGUCAGUGUGCCUUUGCAUCACCUCGGCUGUCCUUCGUCUGUCUCUCUGUCCAUCUCGCUUCUCAGCCUCUGCCUCUCGUCAUCCAUAGCUGUCCAUCCUCACCGCUUUCAGCCUCACAGAUGCAGGUCGAGAGAUACCUCACUGAGCGUCUGAAAUUUCCUGUGCAAGCGAAGUUUGAUUAUUUUGGGUUGCUGUAUUUUGUAUUGAUGCUGUGUUUAUAUGUAUAUAAAUUCUCCUUCGUAUAUAUUUUUUGUCCCUCUUAGAGGUUGACUUGGAGAAACAGGUAUUUAUUUUGUAGUAUGAGUUAUAUUUUGGGUUGUAUAAACAUAUAUAAUUAUAUAUUUUGGCUGGCCUUAGCUUCGUAGGUCGAGUCUGGAGCUUGAUAUCUGUAUUUUGGAA